UCCUCGAACUGCCUAGCAGUGGGCGAUUC
rnacentral:sRNA from 1 species